GUACCAACCCCAAACUAUUUUUGUUGUUGUUGGCGGCAUCCGUCUGAGGAGACCAGGGAAAAGUACCUUUGGGGGUGAGAGCACUUUUGUAGCUAUGCCCACAAGAGUCUGGUUAGUGGCAACAGUGGUGCUAUUCAUAUGCUGAAACUUUUAUGCUCAGCUGUCCCAACAGAACUCUUCCAUCUAGUGCAGCAGAGAGGCCAAGUACUGUUGCUAGAAAACGGAUGCAGAGGAACCAGACCAUGGCUUUUCGGAAUUAUUUAUAAUCCCGACCACAUUUUGAUCAACAACUUGAAUAAAAUAUAGGGGAGCCCAGGUAAGCCCCACCCUGUAUAAUCGAUCACAGGAUGCCCACACACCAUUUGAAUGGCAGUUCAACCUGGGGGGGGGGCAUCUUCUCAUAUAUUUUAUUGGGGGGGGGCAAAGGGACCUCGGCCCCUAGGAGUUGGCUUCUAAGGACAUGGAUUCACAUGGCAUCUGAAAACAAACUAAAUAAAAGCAUGAUAAACAUGAAAUAAUAUAAUAUGAAUAAAUGGCAGAAAUGAAAGAACUCUACAGCUUUUGGAAGGAAAGCCUAUUGGCAGUUGGUGCCUUUAAGAGUUGCUGCUGCAGAGAAAGCAGCUUACCAGUUGUGACAGGACACUUUUCAGUGAUUCGUGUGUGAUUUUUGAAACCCUGUAGUUGGUCUUGAAUAGCUUCUGGAACAGACCAUUUAACUAAUGGGCAAAGCGCUAGGAAGGAUGUGCUCAACCUGUUAGUGGAAUUCACAGUCUCUCUCAUGCUCUCACCUGGUUCUUCUUUUCACGUGUUAGAAAGGAACAUAGCAAUAAAGGGUUUAAUCUGAAUCUGGAGUCUGUUUUGAUAUCCUUAGCUGUGAUAGCCUUACCUUUUAUUUUUAUCCCUUACUGCUGCAAGCUGGCUGAAGAGAAGUACCUCUGAACAUGUUCAGGCUGCUUUUUCUUCAACCACAGCAGGUCUACUUAAGAGCUGUAAUUAGAAUACCUGAUAAAAAGAAUUCAGUCCUUCUGGCUAACACAUUAAGCACUUAUCUUUGGCACAGUUGGGUGGAAGAAGGUAGAGCUGGAGAGGCAGAGGACUGCUGUUUGCCCUCCAGUUGAGGUUAAAAUGGGAGCCUUCUAGCUCCCAGUUCUGCUGUCAGUGGGGCUGUUUGCUCUUUAGAAUAUUAGUAACCUGUGAAGGUUCUUCACGUCUCACUGCCCAGCCCUGGAAAAGAGUCUAGGAAAUGUGCAUGAGGCUGUAAGAAAUGUAGUUUUCCAUUGAGUAAAAGCCCAUUGAAGCAUCAGGGUGCAUUCCCUUUUUAAGUACUCUUGUUUCCCCACAUGAUGGUAUCUAAUAGUUUCUUGAAUGAUCUUGAUGUUUCUGCCUCACUUGGCUCACCUAUGAAGCUGUUCUACAUUUAGGACUCUUGUCUUCCCAACAUAGUCAAUAAAUGCUUCCUACUUCCAUGUUUAUGUUCUCUCUCCUUGUGGGCCUUGCAUGGGAUUCAUCUCUCUAAGCCCUCACUCCCUCAUUGUGUGAAACACUUGAAGAGUUUUCCACAAUCUGUUUAAUGUUGUCAGCAAUUGGGAACUGGUAUGGAGGAAGAAAAUUACUUAAAUAGUUUAUUCUGAGAGUUUGAAGGAACUCUACUCCCAGCAAUGCUCCUAUCCAGUGAUAUUUAGCCAUAGCCACUGCAAAGGUGAGUAAAGAACUGAAUACUGACAAGUACUUCCAAAUAAUAAGAAUGUGAGAGCUAGCUUAUAGUGACUUGUGCAUAUUAUUUACUUGUGUCAGCUGCCCCAUAGGCAGCUAUUGAAUGAUAACCAGGGGUCAGAAAUGGGGUGUCUUUUUGACUUAUGGAUCAGAGCUGGAGGCAGGGGGAAUGAACAACAUAGGUAGAUUAGAAUUAGAAUAAAGCAAGAGUGAAAGGUAGAAAUAUCUUUACUGCCCAGGUAAGGCCCCAGCCUGAAUAAGAUACCUUUGCAGUCCUUCAUGUUAAGAAAAGCCAGUGGUUGAUUUGCACAGUCAGUAAUUCUGUGGCCGUAAGGCCUGAUUGCACACACCUUCAUUUAGCUCACUAAGUUAGGUCCUAGUCUUGGGCCACAAAGUUUCUGAUUUCAAAACCCAAAGUCUCGAAUAAUCAGAAGAAUCCUUCCUCUCCUAUUUAUGGAUACACAAACAUGACAGGAGAGCAGCACAGCCUUUCCAGAAUGGUUUAUGUGGGCUAGCCAGAAGCUUGUGCCACGAGUGGCCAAUAAAGAUAGCAGAAACCUUAGCGGUUUAUCAUUUAUGUGCUAUCUGGCAAUGUUCAUUAAUGCAUUCUGUACUAGCAAUCAAAUUUUACAGGUAUUGUUUUUAAAUGCAAGUCUAGAUAUAAAUUUGGUAUAAACUAAGAUAUAAACUUAGGGAAGAAACAGCAGGAACUGGCCAGUUUAUCCUGACAUCUGUGCCCUGCCACCAAAACUGGCAGUACUGAGUCACAUUUUGACCCAAACACAUCUGCUUAUGCUUUGGAGGAAGGAUUUUGAUAAUUUAAUAUUUUUUCUUUGAAUUCAGCAAAACGUCCUCCCCACUCAGCUUAUGCAAGAUGAAAAUAUUAUUUCUAUAUAAUAUACCAUUUCAAUGAAACAAUAUUAAAACAGCAGUUAAAAUAAUAUAAAUAUUAUUUAUUAGAUUCUGUACUAGCCAAUAUUUUUAAGAUUCCAGUUUAUAGGAUUGAAAUGGCAACACACAGACAUACAUUUUCAAAAGGUCAUGAAAUAGCAAUGGGCAGCAAUUAAAAUCAAUAGAAGAAGGGGGGGGGGAGCUGGGAUAAUGUAAAAAUGGUAUUUGCCUUGUGUUGAAAAGAUGGCGGGGUUAGCAACCGGACUCAGGAGAGCCUCCCUGCAGAGAGAGUUCCAUAGAAAAAACUGGACCCUCCUCCCUGAACAACCAUGUGAUGCUGCCUCCCCUUUCCCUCCCAUUUAGCUCUUUGCCAGUUAACCAUGUCUUCAUGAAUCAUGUUAUUUCUGCCUCUCUCUUCCCUUUGUCCCAUUGCCUUUCUAAUAGCUGGAAUUUAGCUCCUAGAGGCAGAGACAUGCCUGUUGUUUCUUAUGUUGCUUGCAAAGAGCCAUGCAAAGCAAUGGUAUAUAAACAUGAGCGGACCUAUGGGAGGCAGCUGCCCCCCCCCCCCAAUCAAGUAAGUAAAUAAAUAAAUAAAAAUACUUAACUAACUGACCAGUUGCUCACAUAGCUUAGUUCUGCCCCCCCCCCCCAAUCCUGGCUAUGCCCAUGUAAGUAAAUAACUGUAAAUAAAAGGUUAUUGACUUGUGCCAAGUUUGAAGGUAAAGGGUGAUGGUUGCAUUGUGUAUUUCUAGCCAGCAGCCUGCUUGCUUUUCAGGCUAAAAGACUCUUAGCCCUUUUUGAUGUGAUAGAGGAAACCCAGCAACCUGGGUCUCCCUCUUUGUUCUAGGCUAAGCAGCAGCUUUGCUUUUUGCUGCACUUGAUCAAUGAGAUAAUGCCUGAUAUCAAAAACCACAUGGAGCUGCAUGGAGCUGUAGGGCAAUCCCUUGAGAGAUGUUUUGAUUGGAGCUGGGAGUUUUGUAUCAGAAGAGAAGGGAGACAGACAGGUUGUUUGAGGGAAAAGAAAUCCCUCUAGACAAAACACUGAUGUUGGAGCUGAGCUACAAAUACUCCCUGUGCUAGAGGUGCAACUUUAUUAGGUUUCUAGGUUAAACGCUGCCUUUCCUAUACAUGGUUUCCUUUGGUUCUGUCUUCCCCACAGCUCAUUAGCAUUAAUAGUGCUGCGACUAUGACUGCUAUCAAACUAAUUAGGCUCUUAUUUAUUUUUUUAAUACUGGAUUUUGCUUUCUCCUUUUCUCCUGUAGUUGGAAGCAUGGUUUGGAGCUUAUUUCCUAGCCACAUGAAAGUUGCUGGCUCUUGGAAGGAUGGGUGUCUGUGCAUUAUAUGUCAUUCUUAUUUAACCAUGGAGAAGGAUUGAUUUGCUUAAUCUUGUGAGGCAUGGUAUGAACAUAAUUCUCACUUGGACAUACUUGCUUUUUUUAAAAAAAAAACCCCUCAUAAUAAUAAUUAUUGUACUCCUUUUGAUUUUAUUUAACAAAAUUUAUAUACUACUUGAUUGUAGUGAAACCUCUAACCAGUUUACAAGAAAUAUUAAUUAUUAAUGAAAAAUGUUAAAAAAGCAAUUGAAAGCAUUUAAAAAAAUGACCAGCCAUAAACC